rnacentral:rRNA from 1 species
AACGAACGCUGGCGGCAGGCCUAACACAUGCAAGUCGAGCGAAGCCUUCGGGCUUAGCGGCGGACGGGUGAGUAACGCGUGGGAACGUGCCCUUUGCUACGGAAUAGCCCCGGGAAACUGGGAGUAAUACCGUAUGUGCCCUUCGGGGGAAAGAUUUAUCGGCAAAGGAUCGGCCCGCGUUGGAUUAGGUAGUUGGUGGGGUAAUGGCCUACCAAGCCGACGACCCAUAGCUGGUUUGAGAGGAUGAUCAGCCACACUGGGACUGAGAUACGGCCCAGACUCCUACGGGAGGCAGCAGUGGGGAAUCUUAGACAAUGGGGGAAACCCUGAUCUAGCCAUGCCGCGUGAUCGAUGAAGGCCUUAGGGUUGUAAAGAUCUUUCAGUGGGGAAGAUAAUGACUGUACCCACAGAAGAAGCCCCGGCUAACUCCGUGCCAGCAGCCGCCGUAAGAC